rnacentral:rRNA from 1 species
AUUGAACGCUGGCGGAAUGCUUUACACAUGCAAGUCGAACGGCAGCACGGACUUCGGUCUGGUGGCGAGUGGCGAACGGGUGAGUAAUGUAUCGGAACGUGCCCAGUCGUGGGGGAUAACGUAGUGAAAAUUACGCUAAUACCGCAUACGAUCUAUGGAUGAAAGCGGGGGAUCGCAAGACCUCGCGCGAUUGGAGCGGCCGAUAUCAGAUUAGGUAGUUGGUGGGGUAAAGGCCCACCAAGCCAACGAUCUGUAGCUGGUCUGAGAGGACGACCAGCCAGACGGGGACUGAGACACGGUCCAGACUCCUACGGGAGGCAGCAGUGGGGAAUUUUGGACAAUGGGGGAAAGCCUGAUCCAGCCAUUCCGCGUGCAGGAUGAAGGCCCUCGGGUUGUAAACUGCUUUUGUACAGAACGAAAAGGUUUCUACUAAUACUAGGAGCUCAUGACGGUACUGUAAGAAUAAGCACCGGCUAACUACGUGCCAGCCGCCGCCGUAA